CUGGGCUGCAGAUAAACAUUUGAAAAGCAUCUUUGGUGCUGGUGUUUAUCAAAAUUUGAAUGCAGAUGAGAUAGAUAAUCCUACCAUAUAAUUUAAGAACACUUGAAAAUAUUCUUGAUUAUAAACAUUAUAAAACAUUACACAGUCA